rnacentral:rRNA from 1 species
ACGUGGGGUGCGAGCGUUAAUCGGAAUUAUUGGGCGUAAAGGGCGCGUAGGCGGCGCGGUAUGUCACCUGUGAAAACUCCUGGCUCAACUGGGAGCUUGCAGGCGAAACUGCCGUGCUGGAGUGUGGGAGAGGUGCGUGGAAUUCCCGGUGUAGCGGUGAAAUGCGUAGAUAUCGAGAGGAACACCUGCGGCGAAGGCGGGUAGCUGGGCCGACACUGACGCUGAGGCGCGAAAGCCAGGGGAGCGAACGGGA